AUUGAACGCUGGCGGCAUGCCUUACACAUGCAAGUCGAACGGUAACACGUUAAGCUGACGCGUUUCGCGCUGGCGAGUGAUGUAUGGGUAAGUGCUCGAUCGUGGGCUAUUACUUCUCGGAUGAGCACGUAAUACCGCAUACGAUAUUAGCGUAUAAGCGGUACCUCGCAAGACCUCGCGCAAUUGGAGCUUCCGGCAUCCGAUUAGGUAGUUGGUGAGGUAAAGGCUCACCAAGUCGACGAUCCGUAGCUGGUCUGAGAGGAUGAUCAGCCACACUGGAACUGAGACACGGUCCAGACUCCUACGGGAGGCAGCAGUGGGGAAUUUUGGACAAUGGGCGAAAGCCUGAUCCAGCCAUGCCGCGUGAGUGAAGAAGGUCUUCGGGUUGUAAAACGCUUUUGUUAGGGAAGAAAAGGUGCUGGAGAAUACAUGGAACUCAUGACGGUACCUGAAGAAUAAGCACCGGCUAACUACGUG
rnacentral:rRNA from 1 species